rnacentral:rRNA from 1 species
UAGGGAAUCUUCGGCAAUGGACGAAAGUCUGACCGAGCAACGCCGCGUGAGUGAAGAAGGUUUUCGGAUCGUAAAACUCUGUUGUUAGAGAAGAACAAGGACGUUAGUAACUGAACGUCCCCUGACGGUAUCUAACCAGAAAGCCACGGCUAACUACGUGCCUGCAGCCGCGGUAAUACGUAGGUGGCAAGCGUUGUCCGGAUUUAUUGGGCGUAAAGCGAGCGCAGGCGGUUUCUUAAGUCUGAUGUGAAAGCCCCCGGCUCAACCGGGGAGGGUCAUUGGAAACUGGGAGACUUGAGUGCAGAAGAGGAGAGUGGAAUUCCAUGUGUAGCGGUGAAAUGCGUAGAGAUAUGGAGGAACACCAGUGGCGAAGGCGGCUCUCUGGUCUGUAACUGACGCUGAGGCUCGAAAGCGUGGGGAGCAAACAGG